AUAUCCCUUGGUUUUAUUUUAACUUAACCCUGUGAAUAAUUCACAAAAAUACACAUACAGAAGCAAAUAAAACUAUACAAUCAAACUAAAUAUCCAGCAGAUACAACAAGUAGUCAGAAGGUCAAAGAUGGAUAGUUGUUCAGUGGCUGAUCAAAGUGUUCGCAUAAUUUAAAAAAUCAACUUGGAAUUAAUGAAUAUGUUCAAG
rnacentral:lncRNA from 1 species